GGCCUGGUAGCCAAGUGGUAAGGCAAGGGACUGCAAAUCCCUCAUCACGGGUUCGAUUCCCGUCCGGGCCU
rnacentral:tRNA from 1 species